rnacentral:tRNA from 1 species
UACUAUUUUGGCAGAAGUUUAGUGCGAUAAAUUUAGGAUUUAUGAAUGUAAUUUUUAUUACAAAUAGUA